rnacentral:rRNA from 1 species
UAAGCGGAGGAAAAGAAACUAACAAGGAUUCCCCUAGUAACUGCGAGUGAAGCGGGAAAAGCUCAAAUUUAAAAUCUGGCGGUCUUUGGCCGUCCGAGUUGUAAUUUAGAGAAGCGUCUUCCGCGCCGACCGUGCACAAGUCUCCUGGAAUGGAGCGUCAUAGAGGGUGAGAAUCCCGUCUUUGGCACGGAUGCCCGGUGCUUCUGUGAUGCGCUCUCGAAGAGUCGAGUUGUUUGGGAAUGCAGCUCAAAAUGGGUGGUGAACUCCAUCUAAAGCUAAAUAUUGGCGAGAGACCGAUAGCGAACAAGUACCGUGAGGGAAAGAUGAAAAGCACUUUGGAAAGAGAGUGAAACAGUACGUGAAAUUGUUGAAAGGGAAACGCUUGAAGUCAGUCGCGUCGACCGAGACUCAGCCUUGCCUCGGCUUGGUGUACUUCUCGGCCCGACGGGUCAGCGUCAAUUUUGCUCCUCGGAUAAUGGCAAGGGAAAGGUGGCACCUUUACGGGUGUGUUAUAGUCUCCUGUCGCAUGCGAGGGUUGGGAUUGAGGAACUCAGCGCGCACCUUGGUGUCGGGGCUUCGGCCCACGUCACGCGCUUAGGANGCUGGCGUAAUGNNUUUNAACGANC